AGCUUUAAAUAGUAAAAUAAUUAUAUAAGUUUUGUAAACUUAAGUUCCUAUGUUGGUUAAAGCUA
rnacentral:tRNA from 1 species